GUCAGACCUCUAUCCAGGGUAGAGCUUAUAACCUCACUCAGCAGGAUGCUAAAGCCAACUCGGACGUGAUAUAAGGUACGUAUACUAUCUGCAAUCACCUUGCACAUGUUUUGAUUAAUAUUGGUGUUUCACAUUCGUUUGUCUCACCUGCUUUUAUACUAAACGUGAAUGUAUUACUUGAAAGACUUAAUUCUGUAUUAUUUGUGUCUACUCUUGAAAAUAUGACACUACUAUGGAAUGUUAUAUACAAAGCUUGUAUCAUAGACAUAGCAGAUAGAAAAUUAAGCGUG
rnacentral:lncRNA from 1 species